rnacentral:lncRNA from 1 species
GCAAUCUUGUUGGUUUUCCUAAUGGAAUUUUGUGCCAAUAAUCAUAUUGCUAUUGUAGCUGGUCGUCUUAUCAUUCCAACCUUGACCAUGAUCUCACAUUCAAAGGCUUCAAGCAAUGAUAACGGUUAUGCAAUAAAUCGGCACGAUCGCAAUCACAAAGCACUAAACAAAAUACCAAAGCAACAAGCACCGAAAGCACCAAAAGAGUGUCCUCCAAGUUGGUGUCAUAAGAAGGCUAAAGGGCGAUUCCAGUAUAUAGAAUCGUGCAUAUGUUACUAAUGGCUAAUUAAUGGGACAAGCCAAGAACGUGACUUAAUUACCUCUUGUUUGAUUUUCAUGGCUGGAAAUUUUAAAAUAUUUAAAUAAAAAUGACCUUGCGUUGUUUCAUCAUGUUGGUCAUUUUUAUUUUUGUUAGAAAUAGCGGUGCUUUUUUUUGUGACUGAAAAAUAUAAAAAACGAACAAACAAACAAAAAACAAAAAUAAGGAACUACUCAAGAAGAAGAAUAGUCCUGCUAGAUGCUAUUCUCAAACUCCUUCCAAGGCAACAGAAGCUCCACUUGGUGAGAAUGGGUUCUCAUUGUCAUUUUCGCCAUGAUAUCUGCCACUGUAUUUGCAUCUCUCAUGAUCAACUGGAGAUCAACACGCCAUUUCCAAAAACAUAAUAUUUUGGGAUUUUUAACACUAGAGGAUCCACAAAACCAGAACAAUCCUGAUAAUUAUUGACCAGAGUAAAGGCCUCCAUACAAUCUAUCUUACAAAUAACAUCUCGUUGCUCCAAGUCCUAAGCUAGAAGAAUUC